AUGGAGUCGAAUGAUGUGACUUUCUUUGAAGAUAUCUUUCCCAUGAAGGAUAUGGCUACCUCAUCUAAUCAGGAGAUGCCUAGUUCAUCGAGUCAGGAACCAGUUACAAUUACCGAACCUGCCAUUUCGAUGGAACACUUUGAAAAUCCCGUGGAGGAGAACAAUGAAGUUCCUAUUAGGAGCAAGAGACAGAGGACUGCAAAGUCCUUUGGUGAUGAUUUUCUUGUGUAUCUCAUAGAUGACACUCCCAGUUCUAUUUCAGAGGCUUAUGCAUCUGAAGAUGCUGACUACUGGAAGGAAGCAGUUCGUAGCGAGAUGGAUUCCAUCUUGGCGAAUGAAACUUGGGAGAUAACUGAUCGUCCUUAUGGGUGCAAACCUAUAGGAUGCAAAUGGGUAUUCAAGAAGAAGCUUAGGCCUAAUGGUACGAUUUAA
rnacentral:rRNA from 1 species